GCUGUGUGAGAGGGGAUAUGAUUAAGUGGUGUCUGUGACUGAUGAUGUGGAGUUAGCCUCUCCUUUCUCCAAUGCACAGCCCUCUGGGAGAAGGGUUUAGUCCAAACAAAGGCAGUAGCCAUGGAAAUCUUUUCCCAUAUCAUGGAAAGGAGACCCUUAGCAGCUGUGUAUGACACCUAGGGGUUUGAAUUAGUGACGCAGCAGCAGGAGGGAUGAGUCACCUGACUGAUUUUUGAGUGUUACAGACAAAAGGUUUGUAUGCUUGUAGUCACAGAAAUAGGAGGAGAUUAAAGCACAAGGAGCUGGGCAGUGGAGCUGUAAAACAUUUUGUUGUUGGUUUACUCAAUGACUGUGUGACUCGUCAGGCCUCAACUUGUCCUUCCCAUUCAUAAAAGUUGUUGCGUACAGGACGGAUUACUCAGUGUCAAAAUCUCUCCCAAUUCAGACAUUUCUAUCACAUAUUAAUUGCAUCAGCUACAAUGACAAACUCACUAUGGUGUCUCUUGUUAAUUACUUCAACGACUGCAGAGGAAGAUUACCUUCUACCAUCUUAUUUUUAUCCUAUCCUAAUAAUGGUCAUGCAUUACAGCUGACAGGGGCCGAAGGCAAAUGAGUAAAACAUGAUCAAUUAGUGACUUUCAUUCUAAAUCAUCAUAAUGAUCAUGGUUGAAAUGCAUAUAGAUAUCCACAUUUGGUGUUGGAAAUAUUUUAAUAAAUGAGGUUUUUAAAAAUUACAAUAUCGAAAUAAUUCACAAAAAACACUAUAGAGACGAUAAGGCCAAGAGCUAAAUGCUAAUGCAGCAUGCUAACAGGGGCGGCAGUUAGCAGUUUUCAAAGAGACUGCAGGCCCCUCCUCAUUCGGUGAGAGCAUUUUAUUAAGAUAUUUUCAAUUAAUUAAACAGCAUUUAUUAGAAUAUUAUAUAUUAUUCAUAUACAGAGGCUGGGUAGACUGCAGCAUCGGGCGAGAAUGAUUGGGCUUGAGUCGUGUGUCGACUCUGUGACGUAUCACAUAGACAGCGAAUACCUAAAUUCUUACAUUUAAUAUAUUCUCCACAUACCUAUGAGCAAUUUAGAAUCAACAAUUGAACAAAUCCCCAGAGGACGUCUUUCGACUGUGGGAGGAAGCCAAAGUACGCGGAGAGAACCCACGCCGACAGGGUGAACAUGCAGAAUCUACACAGAAAGACCGCUGGGUGGAGUCGAAUCCAGGACCUUCUAGCUGCGAGGAAGCCUGUGUCAUUGAGAAAUGACGUAGAAAUAAAAACUUGAGACUGAGGAAUGCAUAAAACUGUGUAAUGAUGCUAACAGUUACAAUGAAUAAAUAACACACAGCUGAUGUAUUAUGUAUGAAGCAAUUUCUGCUGCUUCGGUGGAAACCAAAGUCUUGAAAUGGGUCGUAGAAUGAAUGGUCGGAGCUUUCAUUUUGUCUGUGGUCGAAUACGAAACUAGGGAUGGUCAUUAGGGGAAGCGCCAUUGAUCUUCUGUAGCUGUUAGAUUCCCCAAAACUUGCUAAUAGUCCAUGUCAAAUCAUGAACGAAUAACUUAAGUACCUGCCAUAAAAGCCUGCUGUUAAAUGUGAAUGAACCAGAAGAUGAGUAUUGAAUUUAUAUAUUAUCAAAAACAAUAAUAGUCUGUAAUAUUUAACCCAGUGGUUCUGCUUUACCACUUUGUCAUGUUCACCUGCGCAUCCUGUUGAGACAUCUUAAAUGUAUCAGCUGCAAAGGCAGUGGUAGGUCACAGUCGGAUAACGAGUGUCAUUGAGUGAUGCUCUGGCUCUCUGUGGGAUGUCGUACUUCAAUGCAGGGUAAACAUAGAAGGUUUGUUCUUUUUUAUACUGAAAUUAUUAAUAUAUCUUUACAACAUGUCUGGGAGAAACCAGCUUCCGGCUAGCAUCAAUAAAAAGGCUCGAGGAUGUUGCUUUUCUCUAAUGAUAAAAAUAAAUGUAUGACAAAGUAAUGUGAAGAAUGCUGCUGUGUUAUGCACAAACUGUAGAAGCCAACAGCCAUUAUAAGCUGGCUUUUUAGUUUGGUCUAUUGCAUUCAUGCGUAAAUAUAAAUCUUACUGAACAAAGUGCAAACGUUUGCUGUCACCGAGCUUAAUGUGCAAUUAUCUAAGAUCCCAAAUCCUUCUAUUUAAUACACUGUCCAAAUAGUGGCUAAUUUCCAUCAUGUAACUGAAAGUGAUGGCAUCUAGUAAAAUAAUAGAAAGAACAAUUCAGAUUUGGCCCAGAUUCAUGUUCUCAGUUGUAUUUACGUCAUGUGUGUCACUUCUGUGGAUCCACACUGUGAAUGUAUAAACUACAAUAUGAGUGCAGUUAUAAUAAUCUGCAUGUAGAAACUAUAGUUGUUUUUUUCAUAGAAUGAUAAUAAUGAAUAUGGUUGCGCUGGAGUGUAAACUGAGCUUCUGUGCAGCUCAUGGAUAUAUCAUGAACUGGACACUGUGUUCCCGGACCGUUCCCAUUCAUUCCAAUUAAAUGUGCUCAUUCACUGCAAAUAAUGAAAGCGCUUUGCUUCGGUAUUCUCUUCCCACAGGAAAUGCACACCAGGGCCUUGGCUUUACCUGGUAAAAUCAGAUACAAUACAUCAGCAUAUAUUGGAGCCAGUGGCUGCCUUUUGAAUUAUUUAGAGAGUAUUUUUAUAUUAUAUUUUGAAUAUGUAUAAUAUUGAUUAUGCUGGACACACCACACAAUCCAGGGCUGUUUGUAAAGGCUGUAGGUGGCUACUUAAAGAAACCAUCGUUGAUCACUAAAUAUGUCUUCAACAGCUCAUUCUGGUGACCACGGGGUCGUGUUUCAGGUCAGCGUGCAUACACUCUAAAAAAUGUGACCAAUGGUAACGUAAAAAAUUUUGGCAAC
ensembl:lncRNA